rnacentral:rRNA from 1 species
CAGUCGCCGCGGGAAUACGAAGGGUGCAAGCGUUAAUCGGAAUUACUGGGCGUAAAGCGCGCGUAGGUGGUUCAUUAAGUUGAAUGUGAAAGCCCUGGGCUCAACCUGGGAACUGCAUCCAAAACUGGUGAGCUAGAGUACGGUAGAGGGUAGUGGAAUUUCCUGUGUAGCGGUGAAAUGCGUAGAUAUAGGAAGGAACACCAGUGGCGAAGGCGACUACCUGGACUGAUACUGACACUGAGGUGCGAAAGCGUGGGGAGCAAACAGGAUUAGAUACCCCAGUAGUCCCUGUCUCUUAUAA